AUCUCUGUGGUGCAGUAGGUUAGGAGGUCUGGCUGUUAAACAGAAGACUGAUGGUUCAAGCCUGCCCAGGGACA